AUUGUAUUUAUUUAUUAAUAUAUAAAGCUAUAAUAUUACUAGUUUGACUCGUAUUCUGAUGAAUCUUUUACUUGAGUUGAAAAAUUCUAUCGUACAUUUGCUAUAAUUUGUAUUUUGUAUAUUUAUUAUAUGCUACUGUUCUUACUAAUAAUGUAAUUUAUAAAUUUAAAAAGGUUUAUGUAAUUUGUAUAUACAGAUGGAAACCUGGAUCUUGACAACUUCGGUAAGAAAAAGAAAAAGAAAAAAAAGGUUACAAUAAAUUUAGAUGAUUUAGAAAGUGCAUUACCUGAUACAUCAUCAGCUAUGGAAAAUGGCGAUGGCCAAGGAGAGGCUAUGGAUGAUGAUUUUGAUUUAAAUAUGGACUUUUCAAAAACGAAAAAGAAAAA